GCUUUGUCUGGCCCGCACUUCAGGUUGAGGAAACCAGAGAAAGCAAUUCGGAAGGCGCACAAAACAAACGAACAAACAAACAAACAAAUAAAUAAAAACGAAACAAAACCAAAAAAUCCUGCAGUAAGCGAGGCGAGAAAGCGCAGCCAUCCUCCCGCUAUCGCUUGUGCAGCAGCACCACCCCGUGCCCGGCACGGGCGGAGCGGCUGCGGCGCGGCCCGGCCCGCACAGGAGGGGCUGAGCGCCCGCUGCGUGAGCCAGCAGCGAAGCAAACGCGAUUAACAGCGUCACUGAGCCCAGGAGGUGAAACGUUUCGUUAGGAGCCGGGAAAGCAACAUCGGUAGAAACGAACUACAAGCCGCUGACAGUACCAACCGGAGAGCAUGAGCUAGCAGCUGCGUAGUGCUGAGCUGCCUGCCUGCUCGGUGUUCAACCAAACCACCACUGAAAGGGCUCAUUUCGGAGGAGAAAGGUACUGUUUUUGAUGAAAGCAACCGGGAGCAGGCUGCACGUUCUGCACCAGUCACCUCACCUCCCUUUUAAUGCCAAAAGGAGGAAGAUAAGUGCCUGCAUUUCAGCAUUUCUAUUAGCAGCGUCAGCAGAGAAACCCAUAUUUGACUUACUUAAGAACUGAUGUCAUCUCAUUUCUUCAGAUUCAGUCGUCCUCCAAUUUGAAAACAAGGUAGAGUUCACCUCUUCUCCCUGAAGUGUCAGGGGAAUGGGAAGAAAGCACCAGCUUUGAACACUGCCCAGGUGGACUUCUAAAGGAGACAGAAAUACCUACACAGAAUGCAAAAGUUGUCAUUCACACUCUUCAGUGUAAUGCCCCACUCACCAAUGCACUGAAUGUAUUCUGCUGAUCUGUGACUUCUAAAUGCUUUGUACGUUAAAUCAGGAAGCAGAAAAAAAUGUUAUUGGUUAUAACCUUUCACUUGUAGUGUUGCCUUCUUCAUAAAUUACUGUUUUUAAGAUGGGUUUUAGAGUAAAUAAGUGUCAAAGGAUUUCCUUACAGUUGUCAUAAAUGAGCAAUAGAAUAAAGAAGCAAUGAUACGAACAGCACCAAAGUGGGAGACUGAGUGAUAAAGGCCCACAAAAUCCUGUUUAAUUCUUAAAAUUAGCUCCAUGCUCAGCACGUGUCCUUUUUGCUAUUUUUAGAUUUAAUGGCUUCAACCAGAAUAUUUUAUCUAAAUGGCUGAAUUGUAUAUUUGACAAGUAAUUAAGCAGCUCAGUUUACUUAACAAGCAUUUAUCAUGAAGAAAAAUAUUUUUAUAUGCAUCAACAAAAAAGGAAGAAAAAAGUCAAAUGAACAAGAUAGCAAAUUCGACACAUAAAGAAUUGUCCAAUGCUGUGAUGAAAAGAGAAGAACCUUUUUGUGGGGGGAAGAGAUAAAGGAGGGACAGUGGGCUCUUCAGCAACAAAGAAUAAAAUCCAACUUCUUAAAUUUGCUUCAAAAUAGAAUUUCACAGGUAAGUAGUAGAAUCAACCCUCUUAUGUGAUAAUUGGCUCUUGAAUUAACCAAAAGAUUGAUAGGACUAUCAACUUCUCAGCACUUCAAAACAUGUCAGAAACUGAACACAAAUUUUCAAGAAUCAAAAUCAGAAGAUGUUCAGAAGAUGUAGAAGCAAAAAACAAACACACCUAUGAUUAACAAUUGACAUAGAGUACUUAAUUCACAGGCAGUUGCAGUUCAAAGUUAUCUUCCAGUUGCAGUGUAUUGAACAUCUAUAUUUUGUAUUCCUGAAGGGAAGUUAUAUAGCAAAUACUGAAAACAUAACUCAAUAAACUGUUUUUCCAUGUAGUUUGA